rnacentral:rRNA from 1 species
CCCUCCAUAAUAUGAUUGAAUGGCAUCAUUUAAUUAUUAAAACUCAGGUGGUAAAGGAUGGGCAUGCGUCUGAUUAGUUAGUUGGUGAGGUAACGGCUCACCAAGACGAUGAUCAGUAGGGGAACUGAGAGGUUGAUCCCCCACACUGGCACUGAGAUACGGGCCAGACUCCUACGGGAGGCAGCAGUAGGGAAUAUUGGACAAUGGGUGCAAGCCUGAUCCAGCCAUGCCGCGUGCAGGAAGAAGGCCUUCUGGGUUGUAAACUGCUUUUGUCAGGGGAUAAAAAGCCCAUGCGUGGGAAAUUGCAGGUACCUGAUGAAUAAGCCACGGCUAACUACGUGCCAGCAGCCGCGGUAAUACGUAGGUGGCAAGCGUUAUCCGGAAUCAUUGGGUUUAAAGGGUCCGUAGGCGGUUUUGUAAGUCAGUGGUGAAAGCCCAUCGCUCAACGGUGGAACGGCCAUUGAUACUGCAAGACUUGAAUUACUGGGAAGUAACUAGAAAUAUGUAGUGUAGCGGUGAAAUGCUUAGAGAUUACAUGGAAUACCAAUUGCGAAGGCAGGUUACUACCAGUGGAUUGACGCUGAUGGACGAAAGCGUGGGGAGCGAACAGGAUUAGAUACCCUGGUAGUCCACGCCGUAAACGAUGGAUACUAGCUGUUGGGGGCAACUUCAGUGGCUAAGCGAAAGUGAUAAGUAUCCCACCUGGGGAGUACGGGCGCAAGCCUGAAACUCAAAGGAAUUGACGGGGGCCCGCACAAGCGGUGGAGCAUGUGGUUUAAUUCGAUGAUACGCGAGGAACCUUACCAAGGCUUAAAUGUAGAUUGACCGAUUUGGAAACAGAUCUUUCGCAAGACAAUUUACAAGGUGCUGCAUGGUUGUCGUCAGCUCGUGCCGUGAGGUGUCAGGUUAAGUCCUAUAACGAGCGCAACCCCUGUUGUUAGUUGCCAGCGAGUCAUGUCGGGAACUCUAACGAGACUGCCAGUGCAA